UACGUAGGGGGCAAGCGUUGUCCGGAAUCAUUGGGCGUAAAGAGCGUGUAGGCGGUCCGGUAAGUCGGCUGUGAAAGUCCAGGGCUCAACCCUGGGAUGCCGGUCGAUACUGCCGGACUAGAGUUCGGGAGAGGCGAGUGGAAUUCCCGGUGUAGCGGUGAAAUGCGCAGAUAUCGGGAGGAACACCUAUGGCGAAGGCAGCUCUCUGGGACGGUACUGACGCUGAGACGCGAAAGCGUGGGGAGCGAACAGG
rnacentral:rRNA from 1 species